rnacentral:rRNA from 1 species
CAAUAGCGUAUAUUUAAGUUGUUGCAGUUAAAAAGCUCGUAGUCGGAUUUUGGCUGAGAACGAUCGGUCCGCCGUUAGGUGUGCACUGAUUGGUCUCAGCUUCCUGGUGAGGAGGUGUGCUUCACGGCCACUUAGUCACCGUGGUUACUUUGAAAAAAUUAGAGUGUUCAAAGCGGGCUUACGCUUGAAUAUAUUAGCAUGGAAUAACACCAUAGGACUCCUGUCCUAUUUCGUUGGUCUCGGGACGGAGUAAUGAUUAAGAGGAACAGUUGGGGGCAUUCGUAUUUCAUUGUCAGAGGUGAAAUUCUUGGAUUUAUGAAAGACGAACUUCCGCGAAAGCAUUUGCCAAGGAUGUUUUCGUUGA